GGGCCCGCACAAGCGGUGGAGCAUGUGGUUUAAUUCGAUGAUACGCGAGGAACCUUACCAGGGCUUAAAUGUAGUGGGACAGGUCUAGAGAUAGACCCUUCUUCGGACUCAUUACAAGGUGCUGCAUGGUUGUCGUCAGCUCGUGCCGUGAGGUGUCAGGUUAAGUCCUAUAACGAGCGCAACCCCUAUCGUUAGUUGCCAGCGAGUAAUGUCGGGAACUCUAACGAAACUGCCAGUGCAAACUGUGAGGAAGGUGGGGAUGACGUCAAAUCAUCACGGCCCUUACGUCCUGGGCUACACACGUGCUACAAUGGCCGGUACAGAGAGCAGCCACUUCGCAAGAAGGAGCGAAUCUGCAAAACUGGGCCCAGUUCGGAUUGGAGGCUGCAACUCGCCUCCAUG
rnacentral:rRNA from 1 species